GCGGACAGGUUCUAGGGUUCCGGCUGCGUUGGUUCCUGAUCUUCAGGGCCCCUCAGCAGCGUCUGGUCCGAGAGAACUACACCGGCGGCGCCGGUGCACGGAGGGACAAAAGCCCGGGAGAC
rnacentral:sRNA from 2 species